GGAGAUAUGACAGAGAGGUAAUGUAGCGGUUUGCUAAACCGUCGUCGAGGUAACACUCGCCUGGGUUCGAUUCCCAGUAUCUCCG
rnacentral:tRNA from 1 species